AGAGUUUGAUCCUGGCUCAGAUUGAACGCUAGCGGGAUGCUUUACACAUGCAAGUCGGACGGCAGCACGAAGAGCUUGCUCUUUGGUGGCGAGUGGCGAACGGGUGAGUAAUGUAUCGGAACGUGCCCAGUAGCGGGGGAUAACUACGCGAAAGCGUGGCUAAUACCGCAUACGCCCUACGGGGGAAAGGGGGGGAUCGCAAGACCUCUCACUAUUGGAGCGGCCGAUAUCGGAUUAGCUAGUUGGUGGGGUAAAGGCCUACCAAGGCGAUUAUCCGUAGCUGGUUUGAGAGGACGACCAGCCACACUGGGACUGAGACACGGCCCAGACUCCUACGGGAGGCAGCAGUGGGGAAUUUUGGACCAUGGGGGNCACCCUGAUCCAGCCAUCCCGGCGUGUGCGAAUGAAGGCCUCGGGUUGUAAGCACUUUUGGCAGG
rnacentral:rRNA from 1 species